GGGAGAAAAUUCUAAAGGUGGAUUUAGGAGCCACGAGGGAAUUGUAGAACACACAGUGUUUAACAAGUAACCAAUAA
rnacentral:rRNA from 1 species